rnacentral:lncRNA from 1 species
GAUAAGAAGGAUCGGGAAAGAGAGAAAAGCAGUCGGUACGAAAGAGAGAGAGAGAAAAGUGUUGAUAGAGAUAAGGCGAAGCAUAAGGAUAGGCAUAAGGAGCGUGAGAAGAGCAGCAGCAAAUUUCGAGAUGAAGAUGAAAGACCUAAGGGAGAUAAGGAGGUUGAGAAGAGCAGCAAGUUUCGCGAAGACGAUGAAAGACCUAAGGAGCGUGAGAAGAGCAGCAAAAUUCGUGAUGAAGAUGAAAAAGUUAGAGAUAGAGUGAAAGAGCGCGAAAAGGAUAAGGAAGAUCGCGAAGAAAGAGAGAGGGAGAGGAAGAAAGAACGCGAAAAAGAAAAGGAAGAUCGAGAUG